rnacentral:tRNA from 1 species
GGAGAUAUUGCUCAGCAGUAGAGUGCUUGCCUAGCAUGCACAAGGCCCUGAGUUCGAUCCCCAGUACCACCA